rnacentral:lncRNA from 1 species
GAGGAGCGCACUAAUCUGACUUCGGAGAAAUACUAGAUUUGCUUUCUAGUUUCGUACUCUUUAAUUUUCUUGUUUAUGUUGUGAUCAUGAACAUGAAUAUUUGUUGUGUUGUUAUUCUUGAUUUAAUUAAAAUGACUUAAUUUAAUUUAUGUUAGGUUGAUUGCAUUCUGUCCACUUAAAUUAUUAUAAUCGUGUUCGUGUUGUUAUUA